AUCUAGGCUCUUGCAUCGAUGAAGAACGUAGCGAAAUGCGAUACUUGGUGUGAAUUGCAGAAUCCCGUGAACCAUCGAGUCUUUGAACGCAAGUUGCGCCCGAUGCCAUUAGGUUGAGGGCACGUCUGCCUGGGCGUCACAUAUCGAAGCCUCUUGCCAAUUUC
rnacentral:rRNA from 1 species